rnacentral:rRNA from 1 species
UCCCGAAGAGAUUUGGGAGUGCUCGCAAGAGAACCGGAACACAGGUGCUGCAUGGCUGUCGUCAGCUCGUGUCGUGAGAUGUUGGGUUAAGUCCCGCAACGAGCGCAACCCUUGCCAUUAGUUGCUACAUUCAGUUGGGCACUCUAAUGGGACUGCCGGUGACAAACCGGAGGAAGGUGGGGAUGACGUCAAGUCCUCAUGGCCCUUAUGGGUAGGGCUUCACACGUCAUACAAUGGUCGGGACAGAGGGUUGCCAAGCCGCGAGGUGGAGCCAAUCUCAGAAACCCGAUCGUAGUCCGGAUCGCAGUCUGCAACUCGACUGCGUGAAGUCGGAAUCGCUAGUAAUCGCGGAUCAGCAUGUCGCGGUGAAUACGUUCCCGGGUCUUGUACACACCGCCCGUCACACCAUGGGAGUGGGUUUCACCAGAAGUAGGUAGCCUAACCGCAAGGGGGGCGCUUACCACGGUGAGAUUCAUGACUGGGGUGAAGUCGUAACAAGGUAGCCGUAUCGGAAGGUGCGGCUGGAUCACCUCCUUCUG